GCACUGGCAGUUCAAUGGUAGAACUCUCGCCUUCCAUGCCGGAGACCCAGGUUCAAUUCCGGGCCACUGUA
rnacentral:tRNA from 1 species